rnacentral:snRNA from 1 species
GGAUGUGAGGGCAAUCUGGCUGUGAUAUCUGUCACCCCAUUGAUUGCCAGGGUUGAUUUGGCUGAUCUGGCUGGCUAGGUGGGUGUCCCCUUCCUCCCUCACCGCUCCAUAUGAGCCCCUCCCGAAGCUGUGCAUUCGGUGGAAGAAGACGACCUUCCUCGACAGAGGCGUACCGUUCUUUGUUCAAGGGUAUACAAGUAGCUUUGCUCCCCUGCUAGAACAAGCUCCCAAGGUCCUAUAAAGUAAUAGGAGGAGAAAGAAGAAAAGAAAUGGGAGGGACAGGAUAGAAGGGAGAGUAGAAAGUUGCCAUUUUUAGCUGACUGCUUAUUUUU